AAAAAACUAAUAGCCGUGAUUUUGGCUGAAUGUGACAUGCCAGCCCAUUCCCACCACUUAUUCCAAUUGGGAGAGUUUAAGUGCAACAUUGUCGUUCCUGUCUUUUUGUUUUUAUAUAUAAAAAAAAAAAAAUUGUUAUUAUUGCUAACUUUUGUAAUACUACAAAAAAAAAUGAAACGAUAAACAAAUGUUAACACAUGACAAAAAGACACAUCAUAUACGACUAUGAUAAUAAUAAUAAUUAAAAAUUAUAUGAUGAGGUAGUAAUGUAUCAUUAAAAUUGAAACAAAAAAAACAUAGGAGGAGGGGGCAGAAAUGAAGAAAUGAAACAUAU
rnacentral:lncRNA from 1 species